GACGAACGCUGGCGGUGUGCUUUACACAUGCAAGUCGAACGAGGUAGCAAUACCUAGUGGCGGACGGGUGAGUAACGCGUGGAAUCUGCCUUUAGAUGGGGGGAUAACGGGUCGAAAGACUCGCUAAUACCGCAUAUGACGAAAGUUGAAAGGAGUAAUCCGUCUAAAGAUGAGCCCGCGUCCGAUUAGCUAGUUGGUAGAGUAAAAAGCCUACCAAGGCGACGAUCGGUAGCUGGUCUGAGAGGAUGAUCAGCCACAAUGGGACUGAGACACGGCCCAUACUCCUACGGGAGGCAGCAGUGGGGAAUUUUACGCAAUGGGCGAAAGCCUGACGUAGCGACACCGCGUGAGCGAAGAAGCCCCUUUGGGGUGUAAAGCUCUGUCAGCUGG
rnacentral:rRNA from 1 species